UAAUUGUUGGGUUAGUGGAUGGUGAAAUAGGUAUUAAGGAUAAUUUGUGGUGCAUUCAUUCCAGUUUCUGGCUUUGAUUUUAUGUCUCAAGCCUGUGAGGUCAUGGAUGCAUGGAUAUGCACUACGAAAUCUACGCAUGUUAAACCUAGGAAUAUUGGGGUUCCAAUAUUAGUGGUAUACGAAAUGCAUGAUCCUUCGUAUAAUGAAGCGAAAAAACAUAAAUUUGAGCUGAGACAUUGCCCAUUAGCAGAUCAUCUUGCAAAUUGUG
rnacentral:misc_RNA from 1 species